rnacentral:rRNA from 1 species
GCAGAACGCGAAGAACCUUACCAGGGCUUAAAUGCAGUCCGACAGGAUUGGAAACAGUCCUUUCUUCGGACGGAUUGCAAGGUGCUGCAUGGUUGUCGUCAGCUCGUGCCGUGAGGUGUCAGGUUAAGUCCUAUAACGAGCGCAACCCCUGCCGUUAGUUGCCAGCGAGUAAAGUCGGGAACUCUAGCGGGACUGCCGGUGCAAACCGUGAGGAAGGUGGGGAUGACGUCAAAUCAUCACGGCCCUUACGUUCUGGGCCACACACGUGCUACAAUGGCAGGUACAAUGGGCAGCCACUGCGCAAGCAGGCGCGAAUCCACAAAACCUGUCUCAGUUCGGAUCGGGGUCUGCAACUCGACCCCGUGAAGCUGGAAUCGCUAGUAAUCGGAUAUCAGCCAUGAUCCGGUGAAUACGUUCCCGGGUCUUGUACACACCG